AGCUGGAUAAGGUACUCUAUU
rnacentral:miRNA from 1 species